rnacentral:misc_RNA from 1 species
GUAGGUGAACCUGCGGAAGGAUCAUUAACACAAUACAUUUACCCAAAUGUAUCUUAACCCCCCUUUGCAAACUUGUUUCAUCAUGUUUUUCCCGGAUACGUGUAGUUUUUUUUUUUUUUCGAAAAAAAAAACUGCUUUGUAUCUGUGGUUUCAAACCUUUUAACCCCUUGAACUGUCUUUGACUGAAACUCUGAGUAAUGACACGUAAGUGUGAUUGCUCUGCCAUAUAUCAAACGCUGAACAACUCUUAGCAACGGAUAUCUUGGCUCUC